rnacentral:misc_RNA from 1 species
GAAAUGCGAUAAGUAAUGUGAAUUGCAGAAUUCAGCGAAUCAUCGAAUCUUUGAACGCACAUUGCGCCCGCCAGUAUUCUGGCGGGCAUGCCUGUUCGAGCGUCAUUUCAACCAUCAAGCCCCCGGGCUUGUGUUGGGGACCUGCGGCUGCCGCAGGCCCCGAAAACCAGUGGCGGGCUCGCUGUCACACCGGGCGUAGUAGAUUUUUCGUCUCGCCCAGGGCGUGCUGCGGGUUCCGGCCGUUAAAAAGCCUCUCUUUUAACCCAAGGUUGACCUCGGAUCAGGUAGGAAGACCCGCUGAACUUAAGC